AAGAAACAAAAUCAGAAAGCAACAGAGUCUUCCCAUCUCUUUGGUAAGUAGCUGCAGGCAACUAUUUCAUUACAAUCAUUUGAAAUAGAUUUGCAUUAGGAUUCAGACAGCAUAUUUCCUUGCAUUAUUGCCUAUUGAUACAUCAUAGAGCAGAAAAGAAGUUUCAGGGAAGGGGUGGAAUAGAGUUAAAUAUGUGCUCUACAUAUCUGCAUUGUUUCAAGGUUUCUAGUAAAGGAAGCUGUCAUGUUUAAGUUGUUUAGCAAGGCCAUCCUUCAACACUAUGUUCAUGAAGCAGCUGCCCUGGGCAGAGAGAACAGAGAAGGAUUGCAGCUAAAUUCUUGAUCAAAGGAGCAUGUAUAGGUGUAGCCAAUCCAGAGUUAGACCGCUGGUCCAUCAACCUGAGUAUUGUCUAUAAUGACUGACAGGGAUUCAGAAAACAGCUUUCAUGCACAUAUGUGCUGCUAAUUACUGGAAUAGGCUAAGAGAUGUGAUGGUACUGAAUUUUGUAAAAUGAUAUUUAACACAGGAAGGCUCAUAGUUCAGUGACAAGAGCAUCUGAUUUAUAUGCAGAGGGUUGUGGGUUCAACCCUUGGCAUCUCCAGCUAGCAUUGGGGCUGUCCACUGUCCGGCAUCUUGGAGAUUCAUUGCAAAAACUGUAGGCAAUGCUGAACUAAAAGGACUAGUGGUCUGACUGGUAAGUGAAUUUCCUGUGUUUUUAAAAGCUGCCUUAUAUUGAGCCACAUCCUUCAUACAGAUGAAGCUCAGUAUGAUCUCCAGGAUCUUUUUUAGCUACUUCAUUAUUGCAUACAAGGAUAUGCUUCUCUUUAUGCUGCUCUACUCAAAAAAACAGCUGCUGGAUUUAGUACAAAAUUCAGAGAUGGGUUUUAUUUUCCAUGGAUAUCCUUAUGGUAUAGACAUGCAACUGAAUGCUUAAAUUCAAUUAAAAUUAAUGAGACUUAGGAAACCAUGUAGCCAGAGUCAAGCAGUUUUGUUCAACUAGCAUAAAUGGAGUGCAAUUAAGACUUCCAUUUGGACAGGAGUUAAGUCAAGUCCAUAUUUUUAGUCAACACAGAACUUCAGCCCAAUUUCCUACCAUGAAGAAUCUCCACCAUUUCUCAGUCCUCGUCUUCUUGGUGCUGCUGCUUGUGUAUAAAUGUUCAUUGAUAUGUGCAGGGUUAUGAAAAUAAACUUAAAAGUGGCUUUGGGAAUAUGAGUUGAUCAAUGAGCUUGAUUUGCUGCGAAGCAGUUAGGACUCUAUUCCUUCAAACCAAGCUGAGCUGGGGUUAAUUCAGGUUUAGUGACACAACAGAAUUUGAUUCAGUUUGCAUGUAAAGGUGAACUUGCCAAAUUCACACCUUCUGAAUUCAUAUGAGAAGCAAAGUACAGUCAUCCAUUGAAAUUUGUAUUUGCUUUCUCCGAAUGUUGCAAUGUAGUUUUCCAGUCAAGUACUGUGUACAAAAAUACAUUUGCUAAAGUGUGCAUAUAAAUGUAUAUACCAGUGAAAAUAACAUACAAAAUUCAUUAUAUCAGGGGGAAAUGCUUUGCAAAGUCAUGUAUAUUAGGGAAAUUGCAUAGAAAUUGGAAAAACAAUUCUGGUGAAUUUUCAUAAUUUCUAUAAAAAGGAAUGCGAACUGAUGUGGAAAUAUGGAGGAUUACGUAGGCCAUCCUAAAUUCUCCCAAAGACUUUCUAUGUAUCCUACCUUUUCCUGGGAAAACUCGGGAGAUUUUUUCCUAUCAGAGUGCAUGGGGAAAACACUUUUCAAUGGCAAAUGGCUCAUUUUAUUGCCCUCUCAGGUGUUGUUCCCCCUACUUGACAAUGACAAGUUUUAUUAUAAAGGGAUAGAUGACAAGGCGAGUGGAGGGAAGUUCAGUGGUAGCUGGUGCCCACUGCAGCUGAUGGGGCAGGAGGCAGCCAGCCCUACAGAAGGUAGGCCAGUGACCAGAGCCAAUGACCAGCAGAGACAGCUAAUUCACCCUCCUCUGUCUUGUAGCUGUAAGUAAAAAGGAAGGGUUGGAGGAAUCAAGACUAAUAAUAAUAAUAAUUUUAUUAUUUAAGCCCCACCCAUCUGGCAGGGCAGUUUCUUAUGUGCAUUUUUUUUAAAAAAAUGCACUAAAAAACUGAUUUUUAAAGGCCCAUUUGCACUCACAGUGGUGACUGGUUCUUUGAGACAGUUUUUUUAAAGCCUGGCAUCAUUUCCUGGCAUGGCCAUGUGGCAUCAGUUGGUGACAUGUUCUGGAAGAUUACAUCUCUGAAUAGCACUUCUGGGGGCCAAUAAUGGUGGUGCUGACUUCUUGCUUUGUUUUGAGUUUCUAAGAGGGUAGCCAUAGCCAGACACGGGAUACUGACUAAAUCAACUUUUGAUGAAGCCCAUAAAGACUCUCCUUUAUUUUGUAGGACUGAAGCCGACAUAUCUGAAUUUCUGCUUGGUACUCUCCCUUCUUCCCCAAUCUAUCCCCCUCCCCCUUACAGGAUUUAGUAGAGGCAUUUUGAAGAAAACGGAUUGUCACAGAUCCAGUGGAAGUUGCUUUCCGAUAACUUGGCCCUGGCCCUUUGCAAACCAUAUCGAAGAAUGCACUUGGCCCAUUUUGCGGUGCUGCUUGUAUAACAGCAGGUCAACAUGAUGGAGGCUCCAUGAUAUACCAAGAAAAACAACCCAAAUAUUUAACUUUCUUGACCACUUCUAUCUCUGUUUGUUGCUGUAAUCUAUUGAUUG